AUGGCGUCCAACCAGAACCAGGCGAGCUACCGCGCCGGCGAGGCCAAGGGCCACACCCAGGAGAAGGCUGGGCAAGUGAUGGGCGCGGCCGAGGACAAGGCCUACGAGGCCAAGGACCGGGUGGCGGCUCUGGCGGGCCACUCCUCCGGACAGGGGCAGGGCGCCACGGAGGCCACCAAGCACAAGGCCGGCGAGGCCACCGACAAGGCGUCCCAGACGGCGCAGGCGGCCAAGGACAGGGCUGCCGGGACGGCGCAGACAGCCAAGGACAAGGCCUCCGAGACCGCGCAGGCCGCCAAGGACCGCACCGUGGAGAGCAAGGACCAGACCGGCAGCUUCCUCGGCGAGAAGACGGAGAUGGCCAAGCAGAAGGCAGCGGAGACCGCCGAGGCGGCCAGGCAGAAGGUGGCGGAGACCGUGCAGUACACGCAGGAAAGGACCUACGACGGGGCGCAGUACGCCAAGGAGUCCGCCGUCGCCAGCAAGGACAACACCGGCAGCGUCCUCCAGCAGGCCGGCGAGACGGUGGUGAAUGCCGUGGUGGGCGCCAAGGAUGCCGUGGCCAACACGCUGGGCAUGGGCACAGAUGGCACCAACACCAACACCAGCGCCGCCACCAAGGACACCACCACCCGCACCUCAGAGGAGAUCGUCAGGGAUCACCAUUAG
rnacentral:rRNA from 1 species